GCGCUAGUAGUAUAGCGGUAGAAUAGUUGCUUCCCAUGCAAUUGGCAAGGGUUCGACACCCGGCUGGCGCA
rfam:Smittium mucronatum strain ALG-7-W6 scaffold-1196, whole genome shotgun sequence.